GUAGUUCGAUCCUGGCUCAGGACACGCUGGCCGGCGUGCCUAACACAUGCAAGUCGAGCGAUGAAGUUCCUUCGGGAACGGAUUAGCGGCGGACGGGUGAGUAACACGUGGGUAACCUGCCGUUAUAGAGGGGGAUAGCCUUCCGAAAGGAAGAUUAAUACCGCAUAAAGUUGUUGAUUCGCAUGGAUCGAUAACCAAAGGAGCAAUCCGCUAUAAGAUGGACCCGCGGCGCAUUAGCUAGUUGGUGAGGUAGAAGCUCACCAAGGCGACGAUGCGUAGCCGACCUGAGAGGGUGAUCGGCCACAUUGGGACUGAGACACGGCCCAGACUCCUACGGGAGGCAGCAGUGGGGAAUAUUGCACAAUCGGGGGGAAACCCUGAUGCAGCAACGCCGCGUGAGUGAUGAAGGCCUUCGGGUUGUUAAAGCUCUGUCUUUGGGGACGAUAAUGACGGUACCCAAGGAGGAAGCCACGGCUAACUACGUG
rnacentral:rRNA from 1 species